UAUCCAACACAGGCUGAAGUACAGUCCGCCAUAAGUACUAGCAGUGCCCUUGAAAAAUGUCCAGAUUGCAGCUAGUGCACAAAGGACCUCGCCAUGUAAAUAAGUGCAUGAGAAUUUCUCUCUCGCUCUUGACCCGGCAGCAAGAGAAGAGAUUAACUUCCCAUCAACAUCGGAAGACAAAGCGUCAGUACGAAACAAGCGAAGUUUGAGAGAAGAAAAGGAGGAAGGCUGAGACUGAAUGUCAGCUGGUUAGAAAGAAAAAAAAAAAGGGGGGGGGGGGGAAACGGUUCGAGUAAGUAAUUCUGAAUGCUCUACUUCGUAUUCCUCUCCCCACAAAAUAAAUACCCGGCAGAGCUGAGGAGCAGUGCUACCCGAAAUAAGCAAGAGCAGUCAGAUCUUAACUGCCAUAGACUAAAUAAACGCUACUCCAUAUUAAUAUUAUUAAAUAAGGAGGAAUAUACUUACCAUAUCAGCUGGAACGCUGCUGGACAUCUUGAUGUUACCCUAAAUGGCUUUAAAUCAACUUAAAAAAAAAAAUUAAAAA